GAAGCUUGCUUCUUGGGUGGCGAGUGGCGAACGGGUGAGUAAUAUAUCGGAACGUACCGAGUAAUGGGGGAUAACUAAUCGAAAGAUUAGCUAAUACCGCAUAUUCUCUGAGGAGGAAAGCAGGGGACCUUCGGGCCUUGCGUUAUUCGAGCGGCCGAUAUCUGAUUAGCUAGUUGGUGGGGUAAAGGCCUACCAAGGCGACGAUCAGUAGCGGGUCUGAGAGGAUGAUCCGCCACACUGGGACUGAGACACGGCCCAGACUCCUACGGGAGGCAGCAGUGGGGAAUUUUGGACAAUGGGCGCAAGCCUGAUCCAGCCAUGCCGCGUGUCUGAAGAAGGCCUUCGGGUUGUAAAGGACUUUUGUCAGGGAAGAAAAGGCUGUUGCUAAUAUCGACAGCUGAUGACGGUACCUGAAGAAUAAGCACCGGCUAACUACGUGCCAGCAGCCGCGGUAAUACGUAGGGUGCGAGCGUUAAUCGGAAUUACUGGGCGUAAAGCGAGCGCAGACGGUUACUUAAGCAGGAUGUGAAAUCCCCGGGCUCAACCUGGGAACUGCGUUCUGAACUGGGUGACUAGAGUGUGUCAGAGGGAGGUAGAAUUCCACGUGUAGCAGUGAAAUGCGUAGAGAUGUGGAGGAAUACCGAUGGCGAAGGCAGCCUCCUGGGAUAACACUGACGUUCAUGCUCGAAAGCGUGGGUAGCAAACAGGAUUAGAUAACCUGGUAGUCCACGCCCUAAACGAUGUCAAUUAGCUGUUGGGCA
rnacentral:rRNA from 1 species